AACGUGCGCACUUAACUGCUGCCCCACUAGGCCGGCCCCUAGGAGUUAGAUUUGACACAUACUCCAGUCCAACUUCUCCAGAGGUUGGAGGGUUUGUGGAACAUGCCAUUCUUCCCCGGCUCCUGACCAAGCACCAGGAACUCACAGGGACAGAGUGUGGGGACCUUCCCAGGAGGAUCAUCAGCACAUCCAAACCAGUUCCUAUGUCCUGAGGGCCUGUCUUCUGCUCCCGCAGACUUUGCAGGACCACUGGCUGGCACCUCCCCGGGCAGGCCUGGCGCCUAACAGAUCCCUACAGCUAGUGGAUGCUCAAGAUGCUAUGGGUGAUGAGCCAACGUCUACAGCCUCCUCCAAGACAAGCCUUUCGGUCCUGGCCUCUGGGGAUCUGUUUUUGAAGCAGGAGGUCAUUUGGCACUUAUUGUGGGCUCUGCAGUUGUCAAGUAAAAACAAGGGCCCAACCCAGGCCUUGGCUUCCAGGAGGCACUCAGCAUGUGUCAUGUGAAUGAAGCGACAGUCCUUCCUGUAAGAGUCUGCUUUCCUGAGUUGCUGGCAGUCAGUCAUCCAGCAUCAGAGUCCCUCACCAACACGAACACUCAAGCCGGAGGAAGGGAUUUUGAUAAAUGAGAAGCCCGAUUUUCAGAACCCCAAACCAAACUGCCUUCAAGCAAACUAGAGUAAAAUUCUGUUACUAACCUUUUGAUCUGAGGCUUUUAAACUCUUGUGACUCGACCGACAGUAAAAAAACACAAUUUACAUCACUAGUACGCAUGUAUAUAUCCACAUCUAUAACUGAGUGUCAACAAAACAGUGCCAUUUCAGUUGCAUUUUUUGUUCUGCACUUGCUUUUAAGUCUAUGACCCAGUAAAUUGAUUUCAAGACCCACAAACGGGUCAUCACCCGCUUUGAUAAACAUUGCUUUAGGUGACUCUGGUUGGAUAAACAUGAGAAAUCAGAUCCUCCUCCAAACACGCAAACAAAAAAGUAUCUAUUACCUGUGUGCCCAGUCAUUCAGGGGGCAAGCUCUCCUUUCCCACUAGAACAGCCCAGCCAGAAGGGUCUGAUGGGCUCUGGACCACAGCUGCUUGGAUGAAUCUGGGCCCCGCAGGACCAGGAAUCAAGUGAAACUUGUGUCGGUCCCGACAUCAGAGACCGACACAAGAGGCCCCGGUCUUUGCUUCCUUCCUCCUUAAACCCUCACCAUUCCCGUGCCUGGAAACCGCCACUAGAGAGCCUGAUGCUUCUCGAGCCUACAUCUAUCCCAGCUGGACUUCAGCCGGCCUUCCUCUGAGAGGACAUUUUAAAGCAAACACUGGGAUCGUCCAGCUUCUACACUGUAAAGUUUGUUUUAUGCUACACCGUCCGUAGUAAACCUAUGCUCUCUGUGAAGGCAAGAAACACUUGAGUUCCCCUCCCGUACCCAAAUACUUAAAGUUUCUGGCUCUCCUUUCCAGAUACACACAGAAUUUACACAGGCGAGAGGCAGUGGCAGUGGGGUGGCCUGACACUAGCACAACUUGACACUUUUUAUUGUAUAGGACAAUGGUUACAGACCACAAAGAUUCAGGAAGACCCACUGCUUGGGCCCAAAAAGAGACAAGACUCCCCGUGUCAGUUCAGUCCUCUGGGCUGUGAGGGGACAGGCUUUUUCUUACAUGGGUCUGGUAGGAAAUCCACGACAGUACUCAGUACAACGAGAGCCUCAGCUGAGCCCAGCUGCGUGAAGGGGCACAGAAAAUGCAA